rnacentral:rRNA from 1 species
CGCGUAGGCGGUCCUGAAAGUCGGAUGUGAAAUUCCGGGGCUCAACCCCGGAGCUGCAUUUGAAACUUCAAGACUAGAGUUCAGUUAGGGUAAACGGAAUUCCACGUGUAGCGGUGAAAUGCGUAGAUAUGUGGAAGAACACCGGUGGUGAAGACGGUUUACUGGGCUGAUACUGACGCUGAGGCGCGAAAGCAUGGGGAAGCAAACA